UUCUUGGCCAUUCCGUUGGUU
rnacentral:misc_RNA from 1 species